AUCCAUCUCUAAACAAACAAAAAAAAAAAAGGCGUUAGUAAAAAUCUUUAUCAGUAAUUAUAUUUAAUGUAAAAUUGAUUAAGAAAAAGAGGAAAAGAGCGACGUAAAACACAAAGAGCAUCAAAAGAGAAAUUAUAGUAAUUUUUUUCCAAAUACAUUUAAAAAAAAUUUUGUUGAAAUUUACGAAGAAAAAUAAUAUCAUAUCAAUCAAAUAAAAGAAGAAGUGAAUUUUUUGGAAGAUUUACAUGCAAAAGGCAUAAAAUUGUCAUAUUAUUGGAAAAAGGGUAAGAAGAAGAACAAACAAGCAACCAAGAAAACGGCAAAGGAAUUAAUGUGCUUGGCACGAGCAAACAACAACAAUGGCGGAAAAAACCUUGGAAAAAAAUUGCGGCGAAUUGGCAGCAACAAUCUCGGCGAGGUUUAAAAUCGCGUUGUGUGCACGGUUAUGAAGCGAUCAAGACGCAAGGGACUAUGGUGCUGGACGGAAAAGAAGGGUGUGAGAGAGUUGCUUGGCGAAAUGGUCGAAGAGUUAAAAAUAAGACAGCAAACAUACUAGAUCGGGAAGUUAAUUUUUGAAUUUUAUUAACUGAAAGUGCUUAGGCAAAAAAAAAAUAGAAGGAUUAGUAAAGUUGUCUCUCAGAAGAAAAAAAGAAGUAUUUUCAAAGAAACCCGAAUAUUUAGAUAUCACGGAAUUGCAAAAAAAUAAUAAUAAAACAAGGGGAACAGUGUUGAUUUAAAAAGAAAAAAGAAAAAAAGACGAAAAUAUAAAAAUCGAGAACCAUAAGUGAAACUCGGGAAUAAUUAGAUUUAAUUUCUCGUAAUUUGCGCUGAUGUUUUUCCCAAAAGCGAAAAGAGAUGUAAAAGACUUAUCUGAAAAAAGGUCAAGAACGCAUUCCAAAUAAAAAAGGUGAAUACGCAUUCGAUUUAAAUUGUAAUUAUGUUUUAUUGGAUUAGAAAAUUUUUGGUGAUAAAAACGUUUUCUAAUACUGAAUAGCCGAGAAUCAACUGCAAUUAAAUUCUGUUGAAUUUCAAUUAAAAGAUUAUAUCAACAAGCGAAGUGAAGAUCAUUGUUUUGGGGUUCAUUCGUUGCGGCGGUCGUCGUGCAAGAUUUGCAAGAUUUUGUUUGUUUUUUAUUAAAGGAAUGCGUGAAAUUCUGAAAAUAUUAAAUACGUUGCAAAGCAGAUAAAAGCGCAUAAAUCUUUGUUAUUCACAUGUGUCUUCUGCUGAAAAGCGCUGGACGUUAAAAGGAAUGUGUUUUAUUUAAAAAUUGGCUGAAUAUGUUGUGUAUAUGCUAGCUGGUUCCUUUGGAAAAAGUAAUGAAAACAACAACAACAUCAUCAACAAAAACGCACGGUCUGUGGUAAAGAAAAAGAAAACCAGGGAAAUCAUAACGAAACCAGCCAAGAUGUCCAAAAAACGAGCAAAUAAAAAAAAUCCUUUUGUUUGAAAUAAGCAGAGAAAAAUUUUAACAAUUUUCUUUUCUUACAGGUACUAGCGAAAAGUGUGUUAGAAGUGAAGAAAAACGCCCGCACCACCACCAUCACCAUCAACAAAACAGCAACAACAGUCUCUAAAACAAUUUAAGCCAUCCCAUCCACCUUAUGUCCCAGUGUCGUUGAAACCGUAAUAACCACUCGAACGGUAGACGACAGAAGUGUGGGUAUUAUAACCGUACCAUUACACUCUAUUUGAAAUUCUCCGAGGUCUUUUGCCUAGUUCGUCGAUCGCGGCAUUUACCGCUAAUAAGGAAGGGAAACGUCCCCUCCUCUACCAUCACCAACCACAAAAGCAACAACAACAGUAACACCCCUAACGUUGACGUCAUGAAGUCCACGUUGCGCUUAACCUGGGUUAACUUCUUGCGUAGGGACGAGCUUCAAGCCUGCUUAGGGGAAUUCGACCUCGACAUUGCGGGUACUGUGCAAGAGAUGAGGAGGCGCUGGGCCCAAUUCAUAAACCAGGAUCACAGGCCCGACGUCGUUCCACGUCUGUUAGAAAUACAAACAGAACUUGAGGCCCUCACCAGAUAACGAUCGCUCUCUCCAGCAUCUUAUGCGAGAAAUGUAGCCGACGAGGUACCAACGAACGAGAAGGGAUUCCCACCCAUCGAUGCACGCAUCAGUAACGACACUGGGGCCGAACAGCAAAAUAGCACCGGUAGUACCAACACAAAUCAGUACUCAAAAAUAUAAUAAUCAUAACAAUAACGUAACAAUAAUUACAAUGAACUCAAGAACAAGAACAACGACAAUAACUACCAGCCCAACUAAUAGGGUGCUGCCCAUGCAGCAAAGACGAUAUGCACAGCAAAAUGCCAGCUUAAACGGCUGCUUAUCAGUUGGAACAGGCAAACCCUUCAGCAAAAGCAACUUUGACCUCAACAACAAACAACACCUCAGGUCAAAGGUCUUUCAUUAUGGAGCGAACAUGUCCAUAAGGUCAUGAAAGAUCGUGCAUUGGAGGAAGUCUAUAGGUAGACGAGGAGCUGUAUAUGAUGUGAGAAUGGGCAGCCGAACGGUCCAGCCGCCGACGUACCCGCAGGCGCGGAGAAGCACCCACCAUGCCGUAGUCUUUUCGCCAACUGGCCACCCCGCGGAAGGAGUAGCAUCAAUCACUCCCCCGAAGAACGGAGGAUCUGUGAGGAACCAAAGUCAUCCCUCGUUUUGGCCUCACAGGUUCUCCGCCGAUCAGGUGGAGGUGUUAGAGUCAAGUAAGGCUUAAGUUAAGUUUAGGUUACUUUAAAGUUAAGUUUAGACUAGCAGCGGUUUAGGAUUACGCAAAAAGAAAUUAGAGCAAAGAGAGAGAAUAGUUAGUUACGAAGAAUUAGUUUUUAAGCCGAAGUUUAGUUAAGUUAGGUUGGUAAGUUAGAAGGAGUUGGCCACGGGAAUUGCGAAAGAGUAGACGUGUAAUUAAACUAAUGGUGGUGCUAGGCCUUUAGAUUAAGAACAGUGCAUUUAUCGAUACAGGAAAAAUUAAGAAAUAUAAAGAAAUAAUGUUGAAAUAAACUUGCUCUAGAAAAGUGAAACUUGCGGAGAAAGGAAAACAUGUGAAUAUAAAAGAACGUGAAAGAAAUCCUGAACUAUAAUUUUCUUUUCUAAGAACCACUUUAAAGAAAUUUUUUGUGAAAUACAACCUGAAGUCGCUGAGCUAGCCCAGCAAUAGAUUAAUGGGCAAAUCAGUCCCUCACAACACGUAUAAUUCUAUCAAAUAUUUAAGUACAAAAUUGGAAUAAUUCAAUAAACCUAUUCCUAUACUGAUCGAGUCUCCAGCUAUUGUUCAGCAGUUGGUAAUUCUAAAUCUACUAUUUUCAUUUCGUGCGGUGCAUCACCGCUUUGGUUUGCAUUGUCUAAAGACGUAAAAAUAUAUACAAGCUGCUUUUUAAGCGUUCGCGGGCUUAUAUAUUUUUACCUAAGUUACGCAUGUCCUAUCAAUUUAGGGAUGGAAUACUCUCAGAGUAUCCUCUUGGAGCACACCACUACAGAAUGUGUAAUAUAUCCUUAUCCUAACGUCCCGUGAACUAAGAGAUUUACUCACUUCCUUUUGCCUAUGCAAUUUGUUCGUACUAUGAAGUUCCUAUUUGUUGUGGCACCGUAAUUUAACUUAUCAGACAACAUCACCAAAAAAAAAGAAACACCUACAUGCGUUGAUUUGCUUAUCCUUCAUCCAGACUAUCUUUAAUUAUCAUGACUUACAAUUAAAUUAAAAUGUCCACUACCUAAUUUCACUAUCAUCAUUUAUA